rnacentral:lncRNA from 1 species
UGUAAGUACUUUUUUGCAUUAUUAUUUUUAUGAUCAGAAUAGUUAAAUUACAUAUAACAUGAUCCAAAUAUAGUAGAAUCACCAGUGAUAUGAAAUUUGCCUACCAAAUUGAUACAUAUUAUUUUCAUUAAAAGACCUAUUAUUAUUUGAUUGAUUUUGAUGAUAUCCGAAAAUUGUUCUACUAAUGAUAUUUCUUUAUAACUACUUCAGGUGAUAAAUCUAUGAUCAAGAGGAGAUACAUGUAUCUUACUGAAGAGAUUUUGAAAGAAAAUCCUAGUGUAUGCGAAUACAUGGCACCUUCAUUGGAUGCUAGGCAAGACAUGGUGGUGGUAGAGGUGCCUAGACUAGGAAAGGAGGCUGCAGUGAAGGCUAUAAAAGAAUGGGGCCAACCAAAAUCAAAGAUUACACACUUAAUAUUUUGUACCACAAGUGGUGUAGACAUGCCUGGUGCCGAUUACCAACUCACAAAACUCUUAGGUCUUCGUCCAUAUGUGAAGAGAUACAUGAUGUACCAACAAGGAUGCUUUGCAGGUGGGACGGUGCUUCGUUUGGCCAAGGACUUGGCUGAGAAUAAUAAAGGUGCUCGUGUGUUGGUUGUUUGUUCUGAAGUUACUGCAGUGACAUUCCGUGGUCCUAGUGAUACUCAUUUGGACAGUCUUGUUGGACAAGCACUCUUUGGAGAUGGAGCUGCUGCACUCAUUGUUGGUUCUGACCCAAUACCAGAAAUUGAGAAACCUAUAUUUGAGAUGGUUUGGACUGCACAAACAAUUGCUCCAGACAGUGAGGGGGCCAUUGACGGUCAUCUUCGUGAAGCUGGUCUAACAUUUCACCUUCUUAAAGAUGUUCCUGGGAUUGUUUCAAAGAACAUUGAUAAAGCAUUGAUCGAUGCUUUCCAACCAUUAAACAUUUCUGAUUACAACUCAAUCUUUUGGAUUGCUCAUCCAGGUGGACCCGCAAUUCUUGAUCAAGUUGAACAAAAGUUAGGCUUAAAACCUGAAAAGAUGAAAGCCACUAGAGAAGUACUUAGUGAAUAUGGUAACAUGUCAAGUGCAUGUGUAUUGUUUAUCUUAGAUGAGAUGCGAAAGAAAUCUUCUCAAGAGGGGCUUAAGACCACAGGAGAAGGGCUUGAUUGGGGUGUGUUGUUCGGCUUUGGACCUGGACUUACCAUUGAAACCGUUGUUUUGCACAGUGUGGCUAUAUGAUAAGCUUAAUUAGUUUAUUUUCAUUUGUAUGCUUUCAAAUUUGUUCGACUUUUAUAAAUUAGUUUAUUCUCACAAUGAAAAUGGAGAGUAAUGUAAAGCUAUUUAUAGCCACGACACCAUCCUAAAUUGUAUCUACAAUCAAGGAAACGUUUAAAAUUAUUCAAACUUGUCAAAAAGGCAUUAGUCACACCACAAUAAACCGUUCAAACAUUGCUUGUAAUUAACGUCACAAUCUAAAUUCUAGAUUAUUUUAGAUUAUAUAAUCCCAACUCAUGCCUAGUAUUAGUUCAUAAAAUAUGCACAAGUUGUGUUAAAAUUUCUGAUUCAAGAGAUUUGACACGUUUAAGAUUAUAUAAUUUGAACUAUGUUUAGAACACAUAAAACAGGAAAAAGUUAUCAAUAAAUCAAAUUCUAUAACGACAACAACAAACUACAUUAUACAUAACAAUUUCAACAACGUAAACCAACAUAAUUAAACACAAACAAAGAUCAUGAAUCAGUCAAACUAAAUUAUUCAUAUCGUCUAUCGUUGUAAGCCUUGAUUUUUUUUCCUAUGUUUUGGGUUGAAUUAAAAUCUCUUGAAUAUCAUGGAAAGAUCAUACCAAAACGCGUCUAACUCGACCAAUCCAUUCAAACUAUGCUGGCCAAAUAUGGAUAACAUAGUUCUCACGUCAUCGCCAUUUUAGAUUGACCGAACGCUUCCAUCUAAGUUGAUCGAUGGACAACGAUGUCAAAGUAAAAACGAAAUGAAAAAGUAACAACAUGUCACUUAUUAGAACGAAUUAAAAAGUAAGAGGUUUUUUUACACAAUAAAAAAUAUAUAUAAAAAAGAAGAAGCAAGUGACAAUUAAAUAAUACAAUGAUUUUAAUUCUUUGUAUGUGAAAUCAAAAUUACCCAAAACAAGAUGCAAUUUUGAAUUAUAUUUUUCAAUCGCAUUCUUUAGUGAUUCAUUGCAGAAAAUAAUGAAGCGGCAUAUCAAAAUGAAGAUGAAAUUGACAAAAAAAGAAUGGUAUGUGUCAGAACUCUAAACAUAUAGUCCCUUAACAAAAAAAAAAAAAAAACUCUAAACAUAUGGUAGAAGAGCUAUAAUGGGAAUUCGUAGGCAAAUGAGUAUCUUAAGUCUCAAUUAGAUAGAUUCUCAAAAUAUUCUUCAAUAAAAGUAGUUGUCAUGUAAAAUUAAAUGUUAAGAAAUUAUAGUUUCUUUUUACAAAAAUAAAUGAUAGUUUUUUUUGUCAAAAAAUAAAUAAAUGAUAGUUGAAUACAAUUUUUUUCAUUACAUAAAAAAAAAAAUUAAUGAGGUUAAUCAUUAUUCUAUAUGUGUGUGUGUAUGUUGUCGAUUUUACUUAUAAUAAUUGAGUCAUGUUUAUAGUUUCUUAAAAAAAAUGACUUUUUAUAAACAUAAAUUUUAUAGUUUCUUAAAAAAAUUAAAGACUUGUUAUUAAAAUCAAAAGAUAAACAUUUGAUAAGGACAUUCAUGUAUAUUUUCUUUUCCGCACGUACUUUAUAAUAUCCUUAAAGCACGUCUCAAAUGUGUAUAUAUUUUAAUGUCUAAAUAUAAAUUGAAGUCGAUCUCCUCUUUUUUUUUAAAUAACAAAUGACACAACGUAUUUACCUAAAAAAAUGACAGAAAGUAACUAAACUUGCAACAAUAUUUUUUUAGGUAUAAACUCGCAACAAUAUUGUUAAUCGAGUGAUAUACUCAAAUGAUUAAUAAACUUUAGUUAAGAACUAAUUGUUAGAAGAAUUCAUUUCAAAUAUUUACUAGAACAAUAUAUCAUUGUUCAAAUUUUACUUACUAAUGAACUUAAAUUCGAACUACGACAAUGUUAUUUUCCUAGAAAUCGAAGAGUUAAAAAGACAAAAAGAGCUCACAGCCAUGUUUAGUCUAAUGGCCAAUUAUUGCUUACUAAAUAUUAAAUAAAACACAAUAGGAAUAGGGGAAAGACCAAACUCAUACAUGUGACAGCCAGACAUAUAUAGUAUUGUAUUAGCACCAAGUUGUAUUCAAUGUGAAAAAAAUUGCACGAUGAAAAUGUUACAAGUAUUUUAGUGAAGCGUACGAUGUUUAGCUACCCUUCAAUUCAGUAUGCACUAACAUAUAUUCCAAUAAUGAGAAACCUUAAUGAUCUGUUCCAAUCCAUCAUCACACAUCGUACUCAUUCCUUUUCUAUAUAUACAACAAAAAUACUGUUUACCAACAUACUAUAUAGUUGCUAUUAUUAGAAGGUUAAUAUAUCAAGAUGGUGAGUGAAGGAGCGUUAAAGUUCUUGAGGAAGAACUUUAUUUUCUAUCAUGGUUCUAUCCGUCUUUAUGGACUAGUUUCUACGAUUGUACGUAGAGAAUACUCGCCUUACAACAAUAAAAUAGAUAUUCACAAGAAUCAUAGGGCAGGGCAGAAGGCCCUGCAAUCAUCUUGGCCAUAGGAACUGCAAAUCCACCAAAUUGUGUUGAACAAAGCACAUAUCCUGAUUUCUAUACUUCAGAAUCGCAAAUAGCGAGCACAAGACGCAACUCAGAGAGAAAUUUCAGCGCAUUUGUAAGUAUUCUUUUAAUCUAUUAGUAUUAUUUUUAGAUACUUUCCAUUAACAUUUAUUUUCGAUCUCUAGUAUUCUUUUAAUCUCUAGUUAAAAUCUAUAUGAAUAGGCAAAACCAUUUCUGAAUUUGUAAGAUGUUGAUCAAUAUAUAUAUUUUGUUAAGCUUUCUGUCACACUGCAUGAGUUAGCACGUUAAGUGUUUAUAUGACAGUUGAUCAUGAUGGGUAUUUUUGGUGGUUAUAAAAGCUAGACUAUGCAGCUUUAUAAUACCAUGGUGGUUCAGGUCCAAUUUUACUCAGUUUCGAUUUUAUAAGCGAUUUAACUUGAAAUUCAUAUCCAAAAAUGUGAGAUCAAAUCAUUAUACGAGUUAAAACGUGAUUUUAACACCUUGAACUUUGGUAAUAGUUUCUUGAUGAAGCUUGAACUUUGGUUCCCAUUUCCUUAUCGUUAGGUAACGAUCAGACAAAAGUUAACAUACUUCUAUUUAAGUCUUCAUUCUCUUGAAAUUUGACAUAGAAGAAAUCAUCAAUAAUUAGACACAAUCAUAUAUUUUAUUUAUUAUUUUAUAUUUUUGUCUUAAGAAACCUGCUAGUUAUAAAAAAACAAAUUUAUUUAAAGACAAAUCGUUAAGUUAGGUAGAAUAAGAGUUUGAAUUUUGACUGAAGCAAUUACUAGUCAUACUUUACUUACGUUUAAACUCCAGAUUUUUAGGCCAUCUUCUCAUGAAAACGGGAGGGUUAAGACAAAAAGAUGUAAAAAAAAUUAAAUACAGAAAACAAAUAUAUGUUUAGCUCAUAAAAAAAUAUCAUUGUUUUAGAAGUCACUUGUGAUUAUAAUUUUUCCUACUAUAUCGAUAAUAAAUAUUGCAUUACAAGAUCUUAUUAUAUGAUUGAUUUUGGUAUUGCCAAAGAUUUUGUUAUACUAAUGUCAAUUAUUUAUAAUUACUUUAGGUGAAAAAUCAAUGAUCAAGAGAAGAUACAUGUACCAAACAGAAGCUAUUUUGAAAGAGAAUCCUAAUUUUUGCACUUAUAUGACACCUUCUUUGGAUGCUAGGCAAGACAUGGUGGUGCGAGACGUGCCUAGGCUAGGAAAUGAGGCUGCAGUGAAAGCUAUAAAAGAAUAGGGCCAACCAAAGUCAAAGAUUACACACUUAAUAUUUUGCACCAUGAGUGGUAUAGGCAUGCCUGGUGCCGAUUACCAACUCACAAAACUCUUAGGUCUUUGCCCGGAUGUGAAACGGUAUAUGAUAUACCAACAAGGAUGCUUUGCAGGGGGCACUGUUCUACGUUAGGCCAAGGACUUGGCUGAGAACAAUAAAGAUGCUCUUGUGUUGGUAAUAUGUUCUGAAGUCACUACAUCACUAUUUUGUGGCCCUAAUGAAACUGACAUGAGCAACCUUGUUGGACAAGCAUUAUUUGGUGAUGGAGCUGUUGUAGUCAUUGUUGGCUCCGAUCCGAUAUCAAAAAUUGAGAAACCUCUCUUUGAGCUUGUUUGGACUGCACAAACAAUAGCUCUAGAUAGUGAAGAAGCAAUUAGCGGCCAACUUCGUGAAGUUGGACUAACAUUUAAUCUUCGUAAAGAUGUCCCUGAAAUUAUCUCAAAGAACAUCGAUAAAGAACUAGUUAAGGCAUUCCAACCAUUAGGCAUCUCUGAUUACAAUGCAAUUUUUUGGAUUGUCCACCCAGGCGGACCUGCAAUUUUGGACCAUGUUGAACAAAAGUUAGCUUUGAAACCGGAAAAGAUGAAGGCCACUAGGGAAGUACUUAGUGAAUAUGGUAACAUGUCAAGUGCUUGUGUAUUGUUUAUAUUGGAUGAAAUGAGAAAGAGAUCAGCUCAAGAGGGACUUGAGACCACAGGAGAAGGACUUAAAUGGGGAGUGUUGUUCGGCUUUGGACCUGGACUUACCAUUGAAACUGUUGUUCUCCAUAGUAUGGUUAUAUGAGAUGCUUUAUAUUGUUUUCUUUUAUUUUGUUCUAUUACUUUUAAGCUUGCUUGAAUUUCCAUGUAACAAGAAUAAAUAGAGUUCAAUUUGACUAUCAAUGUUAAAUAGUGUAUUGGUAACAUGUUGUACUGAUAGAGGACUUAUAGUUGACCCAAUAAUUAUAAACUUAAGAUAUUUUAUUUAAUGUUUUGAAUAUAAUGGUUUUUAUUUAAAUUCUUAUCUUUUUGUUAUUAUCUUAGAACUCUCUAGAUGGUGGCACGUGGAUGGUUACCAUUCAUUAAUUGUAGGAAUACUAUGUUAUUUGAAUGACGAAUUUUUAUAACGUGCAUAUUAACUUGUAUUGCAAGAAAACCGACAGUUUGCUCCAUAUUUGUUUUGACCUGUUUUCAUUUUAAUUAUAGUGUGGGAGAUAAAGGAAUGUAAAGAGGGGUAAAAGAAUAAGGAUUGAUCUAAGUAUUGAGAAACUCGCUAAGCAAUCCAACAAAUGACUCAGUCAAUCAGAUAAACUAAGUUGCCUUUUACAGUCACAAAACAUUGUUGGAUUGUAAUGUUAUCAUAUAGAUUAACUGAGUCAAGAAUCAGAAUUUAAUUGGUACGAUAGGUCUCUCGUGAUUUGCCGGGAAUAAUAAUGUACGAAGAACGAUAGGUGAAGAAAUAACCAAAAACUUGAAAGUAUGUAAUCUAUCACGAGGAUACAUCAGAGGAAUAGUUAAUGAAAUAUAUUCAAAGCAUGUCUGUUUAUAUGUGAUUUUCAUUACUUUUAAUGUUGAUUUAGUUUAUGCACUACUAAACCUUAUUCAACCCUGUCCUAAUGAGCUUAGCUCAGUUGGUAUGGACAAUGCAUAAAAAUAUGCAAGAUUCGGGGUUCAAAUCCCGGCCACAACAAAAAAAAAAAAAAAAAACCUUAUUCAACCCUACUUAAGAUAAUAUAAGUAGCUGAACAGCAAAAAUGUACCGCAAGUCUCUGUGGAUACGAUAAAACAAAUACUUUUAUUGCCACUAUUAGCUAUCAAUGGCGUUGUUGUUGGGAACUUGUGUCUUAUAUUUUAGCAUAGUAGUGAUUUUUAUCAUUCAAAGCAAUUUUGCAAUUUUACUUUGAUUGUGCGUACAUUUACUUUUUGUAACAAAUUUCUAAGCAAGAAAAAUAUUUGAUAACCGAUACUGCAAAGUUCAGUAAAAAAAUUAUAUGCUCAAUUUACUUUCUUUUUUUUCUAACCCUUGGAAGAGAGUGUUGAGUUUCUGUUGUAUAGAGUAGAACCAUGACAGAUCAAAGCAUAUUACCAUUAUACAAGAAUAUAUGAACUUGUUGGUACAAUUGCAACACCAAAGAAGGAGAAGAAGAAGAGGAGGAGGAGAUUGUGUUUACGAUAUUGUUGCCUUCAUUCAUUAAUCGGGAAAGCAACAAAGCGGUACUUAGAUAAACCAACACAUGGUCAAUUCAAAUUGGUAUGAAUUUUAAGAGAGAUUUCUUAAGAAAUUUUUCCCGCACAACAGAUUCAUGGAGGCCAAGACAACUAUUGCCAUAUUUUUCCAGUGCCUUAAUGAAACAUUUGGUGAAGCAUGAGAACAGUAUUUAUUGUGUGUGCAAGAAUAAUUUAAUAAUUUUCUCUUUUUUAUUUAAAAAAGGAUAAUUAGGUUCAUGACAAUAUUUAAAACUAUAAAAUAGUCCAUGUGAUAAAAUAAAAAAAAUAAAAAAAAAUAAAAAGCAUGCAUCUUUAUAGAAUUUAAAAAUAAAAAGAAGACAAGAUCCAAAAUGAACCAUAAAUUAUCCACAAUAUAACAAAGUGAGUCUUCGCUCAUAUAUUUUACUAGACAUAUAUUUGAUUCCUAUAAGUAAAUUAAAUUAAUAAAAAAAAUUAAAAGUAAAUUAAUAACCUUGUAUAUUUAUGACUUAUGUAAAAAAAUAAAACAUUGAUUGAAGUCUGAAAAACAUUUUCCAUUUUCUAAGCUCAUUUCUCUAAGCCCACUCAAUUUCAAGUCCAUCUUUCUUUGUUCAAACAAAAAAAAUCCUUUCAAACACAAUUUUCCACUCUUUUUCUCCAAUUUUCCAUUCUCUUCUCUGUUCAGACACAAAAUUCCAAACUCAUACAAUUUUCCAAUCGAACGAUGAAGCUGAUUGAAGAUUCAAUCGUUUUGAUUCAUUCAUCAAUUGAAGCUCAUUGAAGCUCCAAUCGUGUUCCAAUCUCGUUUUUCCGAUCUAGUUUUGAAAAGUUGGUUGAAGAGCUUCAAUCUUUUCCAAUCUCGGAAAUUAGUAGCAAACUAGCGAACAAUAAACUUUUAUUCAUUUGAAAAAAAAAAACCUUUAUUCAUUCAAAAAGCUAGGAAAUAAACAAAGUUUGUUCAUAAAAUAUACACAACCGUGUUCUUUCUUCAUAUCGUUCAUUGCCCUAAGAAAAACCUAAAAUUCUACUAAAACUAAAUUAAACUAGCAACCUAUAGGAAUAGAAAUAUCAUCGUAACUUAGUUUGUUCAAAUUAAUUGUCAAAUAUCAUCAAAACUUAGUUUACAAAAGUUUCAACUAACACUAAAUUAAUUUAUCCAACAAAAAUCUAAGUUUACAAAAGUUUCAACUAACACUAAAUCAAUUUAUCCUCACUACCAAAAAAAAAUUAAUUUAUAUAUCCAACAAAAAUCUAAGAUUCAACUAACACUAAAUUAAUUUAUCCAACAAAAAAAAUUUCUAAUAACAAUAACAAACAUUCAUACUAGUAGGCUAGUAACAAACUAGCAAUCUAUAGAAAUAAAAAUAAGUGUCGGAUGAAAAUCACGUUGAGCUAUGUUUCUUGUUUCUUUCUCGUUUGUGUAAUGUGCUGAAAGGUUUCUCUCUCCCUUAUUUAAAACGUUUGAGGUAAGCUUUGAAAGAGGACAAAGAUUAGAGUUACCACCCUUAGGAUUUGAUCUCCCUAAUAUUAAAAAAAGGUUAAAAUUUGGAUUGUUUAUUGUUGUGAUGAACUCCAAUAAUGUCAAAACAUUUUUUAUUAUUAAAUUGCAUAUUUUCAUAAAACAAUCAAUCAUCAACCACUCAAAAAAAAAAAAAACCACUCAAACAUUUAAACCAAAUCUAAAAAUCCAACAUUUAGUUAAUUAACUUAGAGAAAGAUAUUUGUAACUCUAGUCCCUAUAGACCAAUAUUUUUAUUACACUACUGUACUUUCGUAAAUUAAGGUGUAUCGUUAUUCUUGCUUCAAAAAUCUAUAAAUUAAAUAUCACUUUUAUGAAAUAAAAAGUUUUUUGUUGACAUUUAUAUUUUAAAAACUAUCAUUUUAUAAGAAAAAACAUUGUUUCAUUAUUUAUAGAAAUCAUACUAAAAAAAAUUAUAUUUUAAUGUAAAAAAUAACCAAAUUUCGUCGACGUUUUUGAUAAAUAAGAUUUGGUUUUUAUAAAUAUAGGUAAUAGAAAAUAAUUUUUCUUUUAAAAAUUUUGGAUGUAGCGUAGAACUUGCCAAUUAACGGUGUCUAACUCCACACAUAAUAGAGUCUUAUACUUUGUCGAAAUAUACUGUUAGUUUUUUAAUCUUUGAAUAAGAUCACUGUAUACAACACUUGGUUGCGAUGCAUGUACGUACCUUUAUUUCACAAAAUUAAUGCAUAAAAUGUAGCAAAUUAUUGUUUAUUAAAAUAAUAAAAAGAGGGUAGAGAGGGCUUCAAAGUCAUGUGGAUAUUUUCCACCAAACUCACACAUGGAAUGUCUUGGACACAUUCAUGCACGUUGAGCCAGCCAGAUUAACAAAAGUAUCUUGUUUUGGUUGUUGAAUAUAAUAUAAUAUUUGUCAAAAUGGAAAGUGUUUCAAAGUGCUCUAGUCAAACACGUGAUGCUCAGCUACCCUCCAAUCCAAUAUCCACCAUCUCCCUUUAAUUUCCAAAUCUUCCAUUCAUAUAUAAUCCUCUUCUCUCAAACAUGUUUUCACCACAACACUCUUCACCCUUUCCUUUCUACAACAAAUACUAAGUUCAAAAUACAUUACAUAUUUAGUUUCAUACCAAUAUAUAUAUAUAUCAUAUAUUUGCUACAUAGAAACUACCAAAAAUACCAAGAUGGUGAGUGUAUCUGAAAUUCGCAAGGCUCAAAGGGCAGAAGGUCCUGCAACCAUAUUGGCCAUUGGCACUGCAAAUCCAGCAAACUGUGUUGAACAAAGCACAUAUCCUGAUUUUUACUUUAAAAUCACAAAUAGCGAACACAAAACUGAGCUCAAAGAAAAAUUUCAACGCAUGUGUAAGUAUGCUAUUAUUUAUGUUGUAACCUUUGAGUAUGUAAAAACUUUGAUCAGAAGGGUACAGCAUACAUUGUGUAUGUCCAACAAUUUUUUUAACAAAUAGGAGUAUUUUUUUUAAGGCAACAAAUAGCAGUAUUAUUCACCACUAAGUAGCGGUGCAGACAUAUAACUAUAGUCUAUAACAUUUAACAAUGAAAAUUAUGUGCAUUAUGAACAUAUUAUUAUGUGAUUAAUUAGUUUGGUAUUAUCCCAAAACUGUUGUACUGAUAAAUGUUAUUUCUUUAUAACUUCAGGUGACAAAUCCAUGAUCAAAAGAAGAUACAUGUAUCUAACAGAGGAGAUUUUAAAAGAGAAUCCUAAUGUUUGUGAAUACAUGGCACCUUCAUUGGAUGCUAGACAAGACAUGGUGGUGGUAGAAGUACCUAGACUAGGGAAGGAGGCUGCAGUGAAGGCUAUAAAAGAAUGGGGUCAACCAAAGUCAAAGAUUACUCACUUAAUCGUUUGCACCACAAGCGGUGUAGACAUGCCUGGGGCCGAUUAUCAACUCACUAAACUCUUAGGUCUUCGUCC